rnacentral:lncRNA from 1 species
CUCUGCAUGGAGGGGGGCCAGGGGGUUUUAUAGACGAACCCCCGGCCUACAAUAUGAAUAAAGGGUACAAGAGUGGGACCCGGCUAGCAGCCUCGCUGGCUGGCAAGGGGGGCCCACGAGGGUCUUGUCUUGUCGCUUGAGGGGCCCGCCGGCUGCGAGGUCCCGCCUGGCUGUGGGACCCGUCGGCUAGCCAAUGGGGCUCUCGCGUAAGGUUGACG